UACGGAGGGUGCAAGCGUUAAUCGGAAUUACUGGGCGUAAAGCGCACGCAGGCGGUCUGUCAAGUCGGAUGUGAAAUCCCCGGGCUCAACCUGGGAACUGCAUUCGAAACUGGCAGGCUAGAGUCUUGUAGAGGGGGGUAGAAUUCCAGGUGUAGCGGUGAAAUGCGUAGAGAUCUGGAGGAAUACCGGUGGCGAAGGCGGCCCCCUGGACAAAGACUGACGCUCAGGUGCGAAAGCGUGGGGAGCAAACAGGA
rnacentral:rRNA from 1 species